rnacentral:rRNA from 1 species
AUUGAACGCUGGCGGCAGGCCUAACCCAUGCAAGUCGAACGAGUGGCGGACGGGUGAGUAAUGUCUGAGAAACUGCCUAAUGGAGGGGGAUAACUACUGAAAACCGUAGCCAAUACCGCACACCAUCAUUUGUGCCCAGAUGGGAUUAGCUUGUUGGUGGGGUAACGGCUCACCAAGGCGACGAUCCCUAGCUGGUCUGAGAGGAUGACCAGCAAACCUGGAAAUGAGAAACGGUCCAGACUCCUACGGGAGGCAGCAGUGGGGAAUAUUGGACAAUGGGCGCAAGCCUGAUGCAGCCAGGCCGCGUGUAUGAAGAAGGCCUUCGGGUUGUAAAGUACUUUCAGCGGGGAGGCGUUACCCGCAGAAGAAGCACCGGCUAACUCCGGGCCAGCAGCCGCGGUAAUUC